rnacentral:misc_RNA from 1 species
CAAGCGAGCUCAUUGGUCGCCCAGACGCCAGAGGGGACACACCGCACUCGCUCGCUCCCCUCCCUUACCCUCGCUCCCUUUACCUGCUUCCCUAUUUUUUUUAUACCUUCGCUCUAGAUUCAUACGUGUUGCCUUACCCUACUACCCUUUACUUACACCACCCUCCCCAGUCCUUAUUUUAUCCGUUCACCGUUCAAAACAAGUGCCAAGGGAAGAAGACGAGGACAAAAAAGUUCUCGUUCACGGCUGAACGUGGGACGACCCGAUCGGUAUAGCGAGGCCAGUGCCUGCGAGGGAGAGGACUCGAGCGGAGGACGAGAACAGAGCUUGCCUGACGUCGAUUGUGGAUGUCGAGUCGACUCUUCACUCCGACAAACAAGGUGGACGCACUCAAAGACACCAACGGCACCGCCAUGUCCGUGGAACCUCAAGUAAUGACAGUAGGCGGCGGCAAGACCUUGGACCCGAACCGCUAUGCCACGAAGAAGACGGUCGCUCAGGGCAUGCUCGACAUCGCCCUCCUGACGGCCAACGCCUCGCAGCUCAAGUACGUCCUCAGGAUCGGCGAGAAACACGAGUUCUACAGCCUUAUGCUCGGCCUCAUCAUCACGUCGCUGAUCCUGCAGCUGGUGGUUGGUGUAUUAUCCGUGAGUUUGUCCAUGCUCCGGGAUUGCCGUCUGCACCUUCCGCAUUACCGUAUAUCUGCAACAGUUAUCAACAACCUCAACGUCAUCCUCGUCUAUCUCAUCACUGUACUAAAUGUCAUCAUCACUGGGUUUGGCAUUUUACCCUCUGAUGUGAAUUUGUCCUUCUGAAGGGGGACGCGUGGCCAAAAAAAGAGAGAGAGAGAGAGAGAAAAUGAAAAAGCUGCUCGUCGGGCUGAUGUCGUUCUCGUUGUCCAUGCUCCGCGACUGCCGGCUGCACCUUCCCCAGUACCGAAUCUCGGCUCUGGUGAUCAACCACGUAAAUAUCAUCUGCGUCUUCAUCAUCACGGCUCUUAACAU